rnacentral:rRNA from 1 species
UUGUUAGGUGACUGCGUACCUUUUGUAUAAUGGGUCAGCGACUUAUUUUCAGUGGCGAGCUUAACCGAAUAGGGGAGGCGUAGCGAAAGCGAGUCUUAAUAGGGCGUCUAGUCGCUGGGAAUAGACCCGAAACCGGGCGAUCUAUCCAUGGGCAGGUUGAAGGUUGGGUAACACUAACUGGAGGACCGAACCGACUACCGUUGAAAAGUUAGCGGAUGACCUGUGGAUCGGAGUGAAAGGCUAAUCAAGCUCGGAGAUAGCUGGUUCUCCUCGAAAGCUAUUUAGGUAGCGCCUCAUGUAUCACUGUAGGGGGUAGAGCACUGUUUCGGCUAGGGGGUCAUCCCGACUUACCAAACCGAUGCAAACUCCGAAUACCUACAAGUGCCGAGCAUGGGAGACACACGGCGGGUGCUAACGUCCGUCGUGAAAAGGGAAACAACCCAGACCGUCAGCUAAGGUCCCAAAGUUAUGGUUAAGUGGGAAACGAUGUGGGAAGGCUUAGACAGCUAGGAGGUUGGCUUAGAAGCAGCCACCCUUUAAAGAAAGCGUAAUAGCUCACUAGUCGAGUCGGCCUGCGCGGAAGAUGUAACGGGGCUCAAACCAUACACCGAAGCUACGGGUAUCACGUAAGUGAUGCGGUAGAGGAGCGUUCUGUAAGCCUGUGAAGGUGAGUUGAGAAGCUUGCUGGAGGUAUCAGAAGUGCGAAUGCUGACAUGAGUAACGAUAAUGGGUGUGAAAAACACCCACGCCGAAAGACCAAGGUUUCCUGCGCAACGUUAAUCGACGCAGGGUUAGUCGGUCCCUAAGGCGAGGCUGAAAAGCGUAGUCGAUGGAAAACAGGUUAAUAUUCCUGUACUUCUGGUUAUUGCGAUGGAGGGACGGAGAAGGCUAGGCCAGCUUGGCGUUGGUUGUCCAAGUUUAAGGUGGUAGGCUGGAAUCUUAGGUAAAUCCGGGAUUCUAAGGCCGAGAGCUGAUGACGAGU